rfam:Cavia porcellus supercont2_160 genomic scaffold, whole genome shotgun sequence.
GCGGGGUGAGGUAGUAGGUUGUGUGGUUUCCGGGCAGUGAUGCCGCCCCUCGGAAGAUAACUAUACAACCUACUGCCUUCCCCGA